CUAGGAGGCCCUCUUCUGGAGGCCAGAUCCCCAGUCCUCUAAGGGCUGGAGGUAGGUGGCUUGGGAUGGAAGCUGCUGGAAGGAAAGACAGUUUAUUCUUGGAAGCCAGGGUGCACAGUAGCCUGUGGGAUAUGGAGAAGGCUCUGUGGGGUUAGGUGAGGCACAAAAGACUCCUGCAACCUCUUCCCUUCCCCUGGUGGCUGGGAAAGCAGCUCCAUGGAGCCUCACUGGAGGUUCUUUAGCCAUAGCUAGGCUAAGAGGACAUGAACCCCCUUAGGAUAAGCCAAGUAGAGCUUCCUUUCAAAUCAAAUCGUAGCUUUCAUUUUCUCUUCCACAAGAAGGGGAAAACAAUAGUAAUGGACUCAUAGGUUUAGUCAAUGAAUAUUUUUUAAGCAAGUAAAAUCAUGACUACAGACACAAAAUGAAUUUGUCUCACAUUUUACCUAGCUCAUUAAGUAAGGGAGACAGGAAGAUGUUACAAGAGGUCUAAAGAGGGGGAAAAAAAAGCAGGGCUAUUUACAGAUUUAUAAAAUGGCUCCAAGAUUAUGAAGGAGCAGACAGACCCCUCUUAGAUUCUGAAUGAGAACCAGAAGGGCGUGCUCUAGUUUUUCAGUGAAGCACACAAUUUUCCCUGGAGUUGGUUCUGAGGAUUAAGAGUUCUUGCAGGUGGGCAUUUAGGAUGUUAUAAGCCAAGGUAAGCAUUGACCAAAAGAGCUAGUAUCUUUGGGGAAAACUGGAAGUGGACAGAGAAGGGCAUCCCCUGAGGCCGGAAGAGGAGGAUGAGAGAAGUGUGUCACUCAGGUUUUUAGGACGCCCUGUGAGGAAGGAGGCACUAGCACAGCAUUUUACAGAGGAAACAAAAUCAGAGAGGAUAGGAAACCUGUCCAAAGUCAUAUGGCUGAUAAGAGGCAGAGUGAAGACUGGACCUGAGCAAGUUUGGUGUAGAAGCCUGUGCUCUUAACUGCCAUCCUAGAUUCUUUCUUAAGACUUCUUCUGAGUCCUCUUCAAGAAUGGCCUUGUCUUCUUUGCCUGCUCUGUCUUGGAUCCUGCCAUUGUCGGAGCUGUGUGCCCUGGGCAUUCCAGUAGGGCCACCAACCCUCUGGAGGUGUCUGUUAUUUGUCCCCCUGGAAGCUGGAUCCCAUCCUUGCUGGAGCUAAGGAUCAGCCUCAUACAAAAGGGUAAUGGUGGCAGCAGCUCCAGAACUCAUAUCAUAUCCUCCCAUGUUAAAGUCAAAUGAGAAAAGUCUGUCUUCGCCCCAGGAUUCCCAGCGAUGCCUCCUGAUGUGUCAUUGGCUCGGAUUGCAUCAUGUGCCCUCCGUGGACUUUGUCCAGAUGAAUGUUUUAGAUUCCUUGUCCCCAGUUACCUCAUCUUUAAAAUGAAGACAAGACUCAGAGUUGGCUUUCCAGGAACUGAAGACACAUUUUGUAGAAGUUGAUGGAUUAAGAAAAAGAAGUUGCAUUUUAUUACCUAUCCUAAAGAUAGAAGGUUCCUCGCAUGACUGACAGCUUAGAAGCCAGAGGUCAAGGGAGCCUAUCGAUCAAUGCACUCCACGCAAAUAUGUCCCAGGAGCAGGAUAGAACAAGGUGUAAAAGGGUGGGACUCUAUCUAGAGGGGCAAAAUGAAGAUAUCGAACACAUUGACAUGAAUAAAAUAUGUACAAUGUCAUUAUAAUGUGUCAAAUUUGCACAGAAAAAUAAUCAUAAAAUAUUUAAUGUCAUAGUCAACUACUGGUGGUGUUUUAUGCCAGCUGCACUUUAGCUGGUUAACUGGAGGAUUUGAGUGAAAAUACUUCUUUUUUUUUUUUUUUUAAGAGAGAGAGAGGUUCAGGAAACAUCUGAAGGGGAAUGGGCAAGUGAUGCCUGAACGGUACUGGCAGAAGAUAAAUGCUAAUAUUUGUUGAGUGCAUACUAUGUGGAGGAAACUGGUCUAGUGCUUGGGAUUCCUCAUUGAACAAAAGUGAUAAACAUCCCUGACCUGCUGCUUACAUUUAAGCAAGGAGGGUGAGUCAAUAAAUCAUGAAUACAUAUAAUACAUUAGAAGGUAAUAUAUGCUGUAGAAAAGUGAUGACAUAAAGCAGAAAAUAUUGGAAAUGCUAGCAUCAGGGAGCAGGGUGUAGUAUUAAAAGGUCAGAGUGGGUCUCAUUGCAAAGGGUAGAUUUGAGCAAAGGCAUCAGAGGUAUAAAGAAAUUAGGCAUAUGAACAUAGGAGGUAAAAACAUUUUAGGCAGAUGUAAUAAAUAAUUUCAAAACUGAAAGACAGUCUUGUAUCUUUAAAAAGUGUUUAUCUUCUGGUCAAAAGGCUCAUUGUAGCUGUUUUGUUGAGGGGAACUGUGGGAAAGUGUGGCUGGAACCAGGGAAAUCAGUUAAGAAGUAGUUCUAUUCAUCCAAGAAAGAGAUACUGAGAACUUGAGUUAAUUUAAAAUGAAUACUGUUUGCUAGGGAAAAAAAGAAAUUCUAAAGAAAAAUUUGCCCGUGGGCCAAUUAAGUUGAUCAGGCUUAAUAUGAAAUAAGCAUAAUGGCAUCUGUUCAUUUUCAGCUCACGGUGACCAGUUUAAUUGGGGUUUCUAAAAUGACAAGAGAGAUUCAAAUGCCUCAGCUGGCUUCCAAGUCAAGAAAGUGUAAUGGUGGCUGUUUCUCAUUAUGGUUCUCUUUUUAAGGUGAUAAAAGUCACCUAAUUAGUUUGACUUAAAUAAAGGAUUUUACAAACUGACAGACUUCGUUUUGAAACAAAUUAAUUGAGUGUACAAAAUGACUCUGCUCUUACCUAGUUUUUCAAGCUGAGAACCAAACUGCUAACAUGUAUGGGAAUAUAGCACUUUGCUGGGUUUUUUAUUUUAAUUUACAUUUUUUGAGUCUUUUUUGCUAUUGUUGCUGUUUUGAUAUGUGCCCAACUUGAUAGUGUAUGCUGUGGAAAGGCUAGGAAACAUUUCAACCCACUAAGUCCCUCAUCAAUGGGAAGGAGCACUUUGUAUUGUACAACAGAAAAUAAAUUCUGCUUAUCACCUGCUAUGGGAUAUUUAUAAAAAUUUACUAAGGAUCAAUUCACAGAGAAGUUCCUAAUGCAUUCUAAGAAGAAUUCUAUCAAAAUGUAAAAGUAAACCUAAAAACUUCAACUAGAUAAAAACACAUCUAAAUAAUUAUUGAAUUUAAUCUGAAAUCGUCUCAGUGAUUUACAGAAGGUUGAUAAUGUUCACCAAAUAGUAUGUAGAAGAAUAAGCAUAAAAGUUUUCCUACUAAAAGGCAAUAAAAAUAAAUGUUAAAAUAUUGAAUCAAGGCAUUAUAUUCAAAGACAAAAUAAAACCUAUUUAAAAUAAGACAAAAAAGAGAAACAAGUUUUAUAAAUAAAAAAUAUUAUUCAAAAACAAAACCCAAAAUCCCAUAGCAAAUUUUUAGCAGAAAAAAGAAGCACAUACUGAAGCUCAUACAUCACCAAAUAGCCUGACUAAAAAAAAAAAAAGUAAAAUAAAAUAAAUAAAUAAUGAAGGGUGGGUGGGUGUGUGUGUGAAAAUACAUAACAAAUUACAAAUUAUAACUAAAAAGGAAUUCUAAUAACAAAUACUGAUGAAUUUAAUAACUAUUUAGACAUGUACUUUAUAAUUAAGCUAAUAUUUUUCAAAAUCUGGAUGACAUGGAUGAUUUUCUAAGCACUAUAGAAAUUUUUUUUGAUAAAAAUCCUGAAGCAGCCAGUAAUUAUGAAAGUAAUUAAGAAAGUUGCCAAGUAACUAAUCUUCUAGUCCCCAAAGUUCCAAGCCCAUAUAAUUUCAUGGAAAAAAUGUCAUAUUCUAUUCAAAAUAAUUCACAAAUAUUCAGAAAGAACUUGCCAAAAUUCUUUUAUAGGAGAUAGCAUAGCACUUAUUCCCAGCCUUGAUAAUAAUAAAACCAGAGCAGUAUCAUCUGUGCCUAUAGCCAGAUAAUCCAUCAAAACAAAAAAAUAGUAAUAAAUAAGUGUAAAAGAUGAGUCCAACCGUAAUAUAUUAUCCAAAUCACCACACUUUAUUGAAGUAUAUAAAAUAAGAAUUGAGUAAAUGGAGAGACAAAUCUUAUCUUUCUAUGGGAAUCCUCACUAUAUUAAAGAUGUUUGUCCUUGUUAAAUGAACUUAUAUUUUAUUAUAAAGUAGAGUAAUUUUAGAAAAUUACCCUAAAUUACUAUGUGACUUCUUAUAACUACAAAGGGAUGAGAAUUGUCAGAAAAUAUUAGAAGAAAAGAAGACUAAUGGAUAGAGACUGACUUUAAAAGAUCAAAAUAUAUUAUAAAACCACAAUAAAUGCUUUUGGUGCCAUAAUAAAUAGGUGAAUCAACGAAUCAGGAUUGAAAAUGAAAAUACAGAUAAUUAAAUUUAUAUUUCUGUCAACUUUGCCAUAUAAAAUAGAUAACAUUUAAAAUUUGUGGUUAAAGAAAUGGUGACAGGACUGUCAGCCUGGUAUUUUUGGGGGUAAAUACAAUUAAAUUACUACUUUAUAUAUCACUACAAAAUAUAUUUUAAAUUGAAAUAGAUUAAAUAUAUAAUCAAAACUUAAACAUAUUAGAAAAUAUUCAGAUAACUAAUGAAAGAUCUUUAGCUUCUAAUCUAUGUGGGGAAAGACUAAUAGGUUUUGCAACAUUAAAAUAAAAAUUUCCACAUGAAGAAUAAAUAUACAAAGUAAAUUUAAAACAUAUAACAAUCCUGGAAAACAUAUUUGCUACAUAUUUAAUAGAGAAUUCAUAUUUUACACUAAUAGUUGCAAUAAUUUUUCCCCUAAUCCUCCCCACAUCCUUGGAGCAGACUUUCCUAAUCAGUGUACUCUGCAGCUCUGUUGUGUCAUGAUGAGUUUGCCAGUAGACUGUGAUGUUGAUUUCCUAGGACACUGAGCAGGGUCUGAAGUAGCGAACUGCAAACAGUUUCAUAUUUUACCCUCGUAGAUCAUAUUAUAAUUUCUUUGUGUGCCAUUAUGUGAAAAAGAGUAAGGAAUACUGCAGGAUUAGAAAAUACUGCUCACAGCCUGUCAUUUAUAGCUCUAAGAAACAUAUGAUUUCAUCCCCUUGACCACAGACGACUGAGUUUGUGUCAGCUUCUGAAUCAAGCUGAGCCAAAAUCAUAUUCUCUUUUUGUGGAAAUUUGGAAUUGAGAAUUAGAGAUUAAGCCAAGCAAAAAACUUCAAGGACUCACAAGCUGUAGGACCAUUCAGAAUUGAAGCCAAAAUUUAUAUCUUGGCAACCCUAACCAUACAAGAGAUGAAGAUUUGGUUUGUAGUGCAGUAUUCUGGAGCCAGACUGCCUAGUUUUGAAUCUCAUCUCUACCACUUAUGACUGGUAUAACCUUAAAUAAAAUACUUAAUUCCUCAUUUUCCUCAUCUUUGGGGAUCCUGAUAGUUCCUACCUCAAAGGACAGUUGUGAGGAUUAAAUAAAUUGCUUUAUGAAAAGAAUGUAAAUGUGCCUAGCAACGCUUUUUUUUUUUUUUUUUUUUUUAGCGGAGUCUCCCUCUGUCGCCCAGGCUGGAGUGCAGUGACGCAAUCUCGGCUCACUGCAAGCUCCGCCUCCCGGGUUCACGCCAUUCUCCUGCCUCAGCCUCCCGAGUAGCUGGGACUACUGGCGCCCGCCAUCACGCCGGGCUAAUUUUUUUUGUAUUUUUAGUAGAGACGAGGUUUCACUGUGUUAGCCAGGAUGGUCUCGAUCUCCUGACCUCGUGAUCCGCCCGCCUCGGCCUCCCAAAGUGCUGGGAUUACAGGUGUGAGUCACCGCGCCCGGCCGCCUAGCAACACUUUUAACCAUGAUAUAAGUAUUCCUACUAUAAUGUUGUUAUUAUUAUCAUUGUAGGUGGAGGAACAAAAACUUGCCAAGAAAAUUAAUCUUCAGAGAAAAAACAUGGAAAGACAUACACAAAAAGUGAUUCUUACACUGUGAGAGAGAGGCUUCUUGAAGUCUUGUAAGCUCUGAUAUGUGGCCAGUGAAGAAAUAGGAUAAUGCAUGGAAUGUAUCAUUAUAAUAACAACUUCUCUUUUUCUACCAUCUACAGAAAACCUCUUUGAACCAAAUUGAAUAGAAUUUCUAUUUCUUGCAUUGGAGAAAGCUGGUAAUUUUACAAAUCAAUUUUAAAAAGAUGAGCCCUCUGCCCACCCCAAAUGUACGUGCUCAGCAAAAGGAGGACAAUAUGUAUACAGGAGGCUCUCCAAUGGGAAGAAGAUGGACUGAUAGCCUAAUGUUCCAUGUGGUUAUUAUAUUCUUCAUUAUGAACAAUGGUAGUCAGAUUGCAGUAAUCUCAUCUGACAAGUGGACUGAUGGCCAGUGCAUUUCUUCCUUCAAACUUUCAUUGUGGGUCAAAUGUGGAUAAAAGUGUUUGAAAUUGACUCAUAUCCUCCAAUUACUCCCUCCAUCAUGGGACUAGAUGAGCAACCUGAGACAGGUCCAUCCUGGUACUAAAGAAAUGAAAACUUUACUACAGGGUCAUUGGUCAGUGAUGCUUUCAGGGAAAGAUUUUUAUCAAAAGGGGGAAAUGUGAAAGUUGUCAGAAUCAAAAUGGAGUCACUUGUGUUAACAACAACAGCAACCCUGACAAAGAGUAAGAAAAGAUCAUGAAGAGAGGGUUCUCAUGCAUAAGCACCUAAUAACAGGAACUAUCACAAAAAACUCUACCAAAACCACAACGUUGCACAAAGACAACUGCAAUUUUACACAAAAAAACAUACGACUGCGAGGAAGCCGGGCAUGGUUUUUCAUACCGUAGACUUUGGGAAGCUGAGGUGGGAAGAUCACUUGAGCCCAGGAGUUUGAGACCAGCCUGGGCAACAAAAUGAGAACCUGUCUCAAAAAAAAAAAAAAAAGAAAAACUUUUGUGAGGACAUCUGUCCGGCAACUGUCUUUACAGCUUCAAACUGGCAUUACUCUUGUUAUUGACCCUUAUAGCCAAGGAUAUUUAUCUCAAAAUAAUUAUUUAAUUCUUCUAUUUUUUUGUCUUCCUUUAUCUCCCUGAAUAUGCACAUAGUUUAUUAUGGCACAUGUGUUCUCAUUGCAAUGACCUAUUCUUGAAUAAAUAUUCUUUUCUUUUAGAGACCCUGUCUCUCUUAUUAAGGUUAACAUUUCUAACUGCUUAAUACCUAAAACUGCUAGGUAUUUCUUUUGACCUAAGAUUUACAUGAAGCAAUUAGUGAGGCACUAAAGGGCACCAUGAAACAAGAAAGACUGGGGAUAUCUGCACGUCAGCAUUACAUUAACAGUCUCAUUUAUGCCUUUUUCUUUGGUGUAAACUUGUCUAG
rnacentral:lncRNA from 10 species